UACGUAGGUGGCAAGCGUUGUCCGGAAUUAUUGGGCGUAAAGCGCGCGCAGGCGGUCCUUUAAGUCUGAUGUGAAAGCCCACGGCUCAACCGUGGAGGGUCAUUGGAAACUGGGGGACUUGAGUGCAGAAGAGGAAAGCGGAAUUCCACGUGUAGCGGUGAAAUGCGUAGAGAUGUGGAGGAACACCAGUGGCGAAGGCGGCCGGCUGGGGGUGACCUGACGCUGAGGCGCGAAAGCGUGGGGAGCGAACCGG
rnacentral:rRNA from 1 species